AAUAAGGAAACAUUAUAAAUGUAUUUAGUUUCGACCUAAAAAAAGUAAGAAAAAUUUUACCCUUAUUA
rnacentral:tRNA from 1 species